rnacentral:sRNA from 12 species
AUGCAUUAUAAUAAGUAUAUUCAUAUUUCACCAUAGUUACAUUAGUUUAGUUAUCAAAUGGGAACUAUGGUACGGU